UCCGGCACAUGCAUGCUGCUGCGGGGAGGACAGGGAUGCAGUAGUCCUGUACCACUACCCCAUCAUGGAAACCCAGCUGUAUGUGGUCAGUCGUUUGGUGGUCGAACGUACUCUGUUAUGUUAGAAGCUGCAGCAGAUAGGACACAUCCCCUGAGCUGCCAGCCUGAAGAGGAUCUGCCAGAGCAACUGGAGCAAUGAAUGGGGAGAUCUCUGGAUCCAUCGGAGACACAGGUCCGGUUCUAGCUUUGUUGGAAAGAGAUUGUCAUGUACUAUAUGAUGUCUGAUAUAUAUUUUUUUUUUACAUCAAUCAUGACGUAACCCCUUUAAGGGCAAUUGAACAUGGAGCGUCAUCAUGAACAGGUGCGUUCAACAUCCAUGUAUAAAGAUUAAAACUAGAAAAAGGGUCUGCGACAAAAGUUUAUUCAGGUGUUAAAUAACUUUUUUUUGCUUUUAUCUGUUUGCAAUUAAUCCCAAACGUCAUGACUGGAGAAUGUAGAACACAAGAGACCUGCGAGUGGCGAAAUUUUCUGUUUCCUCCGCUUUCACCACAGAGUCCUCCCACGCACCUCGUGUACACUCCGACAAUAGCCCACUCCUAAUUCCAGGCCGUCUCCCAGUCACACCCUGCUCCUGAACGCACCACACAGCACUGGCGGCCUCUUGUUUCAUCUCACACAUGGAGCCCGCACAUGGGUGUAAUCACAGCUUCUUAGGCAUCUUCUGAUCUUCUGCAGGCCCAAGAGUAGGAGGAAUGAGCAGCUCAAUAACAUCCUGCAAGGAAUAUCCAAGCUGUACUGGAUACUGUCAGGGGAAGGUGUUGAGAAUGGGGCUGAACAGCAAAUUAUGUGGCGCAGUCGGGGCCUUAGGAGCUAUGAGGAGAUAGCCGUGCUCCAUAGGAAUGCACUGAAUCACACCACCUCUGCAAACCUUUACCGUUAACUGCAUGUAACUUCUGACCCCGAAACUGCAUGAAAAUUAAGACCCCCACCAUUUGGAGAGGGCAUCAAUAUUUGGAACCCAAAAAACACAGUCCGUGUACUGGCCGCUUCUCCCGGGCCGACCGUUGCUCCCCUGACCAAAACUGACUGUAUUAUAGUAAUUUAUGAUGCAGCCAGUUCGUAUUUGAUUGUGUGGCUACUGCAGCCUACAGACCUAAUCAUGUCCGUAUAGUAUGUGAGUUUUGAGAAUCUUUUUGUUUUUUUAUACAUGUACAUGACUGU